rnacentral:lncRNA from 1 species
UCGGAGCUUUACCGAUCCGGAGAUCGAAUUUUCAUAGAUCGAAGGAUCUUAUCUCCUUUCUAACCCUUCGGAGCUUUACCAAUUCUGAUAUCGGAUCUUUGUAGAUCAGGAUAUCUUAUGUCCUUUUGACCCUUCAGGGCUUUAUCGAUUUGGAGAUCGAAUGUUCAUAGAUCGAAAGAUCUUAUCUCCUUUGCGGCCCUUCAGGGCUUUACUGAUUCGG